rnacentral:tRNA from 1 species
GAUCUUGUAUUCAAUAAUGAUUUUAAAUUGCAAAUUUAAAGGUGAUGAGUAUCCAAGGUUU